rnacentral:lncRNA from 1 species
CCCCGUGCUUCUCACGUAUGCAAGUAUUAAAUUGCUCACCAGCUGUCGUUGUGCCCACGUGCCCUGGAGAUACUGAAAGUGAAAAAUCCGAUAGGAUUGUACUAGGUUUCUCGGAUCUUGAGACGGUCCCCCUUUUAAACAGUGGUUCUACGAUGUUUUCUUCUCCAGUCUUCUCUUUCCUUCUCACCGUUGCCGGAACUUCACACCAGAUCGGGAUUUUGUAGGUGAAACCGUCGCUUUCUAUCUCUACUACCCUAGGCACCUCAGAACCAUCUCCUCUCACUUUAACCCUAGCCCACCUUAGGUGGUUUUUUAGGGGUAGUUUCCUCCUUUGUUUCGAUCCAACCCCCACACAUAUCUCCGAUCUACUCGAAGGUAUUCUGCGACCACAAAUUCAGCGGGAGAGCAUAAAUGCGAAUCCAUACCCAACUUCUUUUUAUAUCUGCUGGCCAGCAUCCCACAGUAGGCGACCACCAUUCAAGUGAUAGUUUGGAUUUUUUCCAACUCCAGUCCCCAUUGAUUAUGUGCUCUGCUUCCUUUCUUGAUGGGAGUUCAAAAAGGAACUGAUAAUCAUUCAUGGAUAGACAUUAAGCCCAUGUGAAGUACUACAAACACUGCUCACCCAUCUCCUUAGAUCGUUCAGACUUGGAGUAUCUUGGCUUGUAUCCAUAAACUUUCCCACUAUACAUCUGUCUAGAACAUCACCUUCUGAUAUUGAUGUUGUUCCAGGUUGAAAAAGUCUCUAUUUGCUGGUCUGAGGGGCCAAGAUUUUUGACGACUGAGUCGACCAUUUGCUGCUUCUUAAGGCUUCCACAAACUACACUUUUUCCUGCAGCUUCCUUGUUGCUGCUGUUUUCUCUUCCUUCUUUGGGACCCCUAUAAACCUUGUGAUUUUUUCUGCUAUAGCUGUCCAUCCGGCAUUUAAUGUUAUUUCAUGAGUUAUUAUGACUGAUCUGUUUUCCCCCUGAACUGCGAUGAAACUGAUGUAUCUACCAUAUUCAGUACUUUUAAGGGUACAAAAGAACUCUGUUUUCCAUCUCCUGACAGCCAUUCUGUGUUCCUUUGAUGCUUCAUUAAAGACGAAAACUACCCAUUUCAUGACUUUAAGGCUGAAAGAUACCUUUCUCAUUAAAUUUUUGCUGCACUCGGUCCAUUCAUACACUUGGAGAUGUCAAAAGAUUUAUAGCCAGCAUUGAAGUAAAUCCUUUCUUCGCCAUAGUUAUUGACUGAAACUACUGAUCUGAGGAGAAAAGAAGGGAGAGACUUAAUGCGAGACAAGAAAGAAAGGAGAAGGAGAGGGAGGCUACCACAGAAGGUGGUAGCCUGGACUGGGAGAAGGAGAAAGGAGUUUUCCGGCAAGGAGCACCGGAGACUGGUUGUAUCCCCCUCCUAGUAAGUAGGAGAGGGAUAAAUUGGGUCAACACAUACUAUAUUAAAGGUCAGAACAUUGCUGAUAUAUAAAUCCCGGCUCAAGCAUCAUGGCUGGUUAGGAAACUUAUCCUCAUGAGGAUGUAUUGGCUGAUCCUUGCUAACCACAACAAUCUAGUACAGAAAGGCAAAAUCCUUAUUUCAGCUACUUAUAAGAGACUAAGAGGAGAAGUACCAAAUGUGGCAUGGAAACAGCUAGUUUGUCAUAAUAUAGCUGAACCAAGACAUUUUUAUACAGUGACUACAACUACAUGGUAAACUGCGAACAUAGGAUUUACUCUUGAACUGGGGCCUGCCAGUCGAUACUGAGUAUAUUUUCUGCUCUGCUGCACCUUAAACUGCUACUCACAUCUUUUUUGAAUGCUGUUACACUCACACAAUCUGGAGGAAUUUAUUGGAGUUGCAACAGUGGAAGAGAAAUAUUCUAUCAUGGGAGGAGUGGCAUUGGGUGAAGAACAUGCUAAGGGGAAGCAUGCCAGAGGUACAAUAUUAAAGGCCAGCUUUGCUGCAGUAAUUUAUACAAUCUGGACCGAGAGCAACACUAGGAUCUUCCUGCAAAACAGUAAACCCUUGGAUACUCUGAUCAACCACUCACAUAGGUGGGGUUUUAGAUCUUUUAGGGAGCUUUCUGGGUAGGAGGAUAGAUAGGAUCUCUUGUGACGUUUUGAGAGGGGAUAUAGACGUUGUCCCUCAGCUUUGUAUUUCUGCACUUGGUGAUUAAUAAAAAGUUUCUUUAAUUACCAAAAAAAUAACCCACCAAAAGUUCCUUCUCUGGGUGGUCCAUCGAAUAUUUAUAUGAUGCCUUUAUUAAAUUUAAAGGUGUAAGCCUCAAUCUUCUUAACUCCAGUGAAUGAGAUAUACCUCCGGAAUACUUCUCGUUCCGAGACAUUGAAGGCAACUGACUAAUCAAAAACCACACUAAAACAUGAUAUCUAGAGCAAAAGUAUCUUUGAGCAAGCUACAGAUAUAUUCAGUUUUUCCUUAAACAAAAUUUCAACAAAAACGAGAAUGAGCUGCUGAAGAGCUAGGGAGAAAGCUUCUGUAUUGAAAGGAGCAGUGUACAUUGGACCUACGCAAGUAAUCUCAAUGUUAUAUAUAUAGAUAUAUAGGAACUUUGAGUUCACAAUGAACCACACAUGCCUACUUGAAUUCUAACUCCUAUACAUUACGUUCUUUACACCAAAAAUGAAACAACAGUACUUAAAACAUUCUGCAAUGGGUCGUAUUUGCCUUAAAAAACUCUUGCAUUUCUCUCCUUCCAAACUGUCCACCAUAUGCAGGCAGGUACCAGUCUCCAACUCUUCUGUUGCACUGCACCCCUAUUCUUAUUCCAACUCUGCAGCAUAUCACUAGUAAUUGCUGGGAAAGUCCAUCUAAGUCCCAGAGUCCCAUAAUGUUGAGGAGAAGUUGCCACAGCUGAUCAGCAGUGGGCAAUGAAGGAACAAAUGAUUGUUGCUUUCUAAAGCUGAACCACAUAAAGAGCACCUAGAACAAAGUUAGAACCCCUUUCUUUUCAGAUUUCUUGAGUUAGAUAAGCUUCCCUUGCCACUAACCAUGAGAAGCAGACCACCUUGAAAGGGGCCUUAACUUCCCAUACAUACCUCCAUGGACAACUUCUUGUGUUCUGCCCUAUAAAUUAAACCGGUGAAGAUAAGUUGAUUUAACAGUGAAAAUCUCAUUCCUACAGUGCCGCAGUUUCAUAUUUCCUCUUCAUGAAACCCUUGAAAUUCCAUGUGUAAUCCAACUUUUCCCAGCAGUUCAUAUUCAUUGAGUGGUCUUUGUGCACAAGAUCCAUAGAUGAAGUCUGGUUAAGUAAACUAAUCUUCUUCUUUAGAUUCCCACCAUUAGAAGCAUUCCAUUCCUUUAGCUUAUUCUUCAGCAAUUUAAGUUUGCAAGCCAAAAUAUAAUCUGGCCUUUCUUGGAUCACACAAGAAUUCCACAGCCUUCCACCUUUUGCUUAAACCCUUCAACAUCCAUCCAUCAAUUUUCAAAUUUGAAAUAUGAUUCAGAGAAUCCCAGUCUCCACGCUUUAAAGAAAUAGACAGUGGAUAGAGAAAAUCCCAAGGAUAGUUUAAUAUUAUUGAACUAUUUAUACACCAAACAAAGAAAAGAAAUUUAUCGAUUCUUGUAGUGCAUUCAUGAUUGCUUCCCCUAUCCCAAGUAUAAAUAUCACAUAACAGUGGAGGAUCAAUUAGUUCCAAGUCCUCAAUUAUGUCAGAGAAUUCCUUCAUAGCUCUGGUAAUGCCGUUGUUUUUUUUUCUUUUAAUCACAAACUAGGUAGUACUAAAAUCUCCACAGACCUCUCAAGCCCCUUCACAAGCCCCUCUUGUAGAAACUAGCUCCCACCGUCUCUCCCUUAUGCAGUUUAGACCGUAACCCUAGAAAGGAACCAGCUGAAGUUCUUGCUGUCAGAAGGGAAUUUACAGGAAAUGGAAUGAACACCACUGUGCAAUAACUCUCCUUUCCACAUCCUUUUAUCCCAAUGUUUCUAAGAUACCUCCAAUUCUCCCGUUUGCAACAAACCCACAUAUAGUCGACCCAUCUAUUGUUGCACAGCUGUUUGACCAUCGUGCCAUACUUCCCUUCCAUCCGUACAAUAAAUAUCUGUCUUAUCUCUUGUAUAAAAGAUUUAAUCACCCUCCUCUUUUCAAUAUCACUCAAGCCCCUUAAAUUACAUGAGAUAAUGUGUAUCUUCCUUGGGAAUUAUUCCAAUUGUUUCUUCCUGUUAGUGGAACCACCAUCUUUAAAAUUUAACUCCAACUUGCAGAAUCUUCACUUCAUUAUGAUCAUUUGGUUUCGGGGUAGAGGGAGUAGACUUGCUAGCUUUCUUUCACUUCUCUUGCCUCUUCUUGUCCAGUUUCAGGAACAACCACACCUCCUCUUCACACCCAUGAAACUCAGCUAACUGAAUCUGAAUAUCCUCUAUUGAAAAUUGUUGUGAUUGCUCCACAUAAACCAUUGUUCUCAUGAUUACCAAAACCCCCUUCCUCCUCUUCACCAUUUCCACCUCGUAUUUGAAGUAUUUGCAGUUUGCAAGAAUUUACUAGAACUUGAGUAUCUUAAACUACUACCGAUUCUAGCAAUGUAAGUGAGUCACAACUUUGUGAAUCAUAUAAGCCGUUAGCUCCAAUCUUUACAAGUAAUUAACCCACCUCGGUUAAGACCUGAAGUCAUUUGGAAAAAUCGCAAUCACGCCCAAACUCUUUCUUCUUUCAGAAAGAAUUGUGUCUGCGACCCAAAUCCAAAGUUUGGUUUAAGCCCCUCUUACCUUCUAUUGAAAAAUCAAAUGUGAGCUCCCGAAGAGAAGUGUUUGCUGCAAGACUUUCAAUUGCUGGCUUGGCCAACCAAUUUCUUAUUCUGUCACGGAAACCUUCUGUCCUUAGCCACCACUUCUCCACUUUGAAGUAGGACUUGUUAUGUGUCCAAACUCCACACUGCAAAGCUAUUGGAUUGUGAUCUGAAACCAUUCUUUGUAGUACAAUCUGUUUGAUAUUGCUGAAUUUGCCAUCCCAUUCCUCUGAAAUAAGGAUUCUAUCAAUCCUAGAAGCUGCCAGAUGAUUAUCCCCUUUGAACCAUGUGAAACUACCCCCUUCCAGAUUAAGAUCAAUCAAUUUCAAUUCCUCUAUAAGGUCUGAGAAUUCCGUAAUGAAUCUGGACAUUCUUUUGCAAUUUCUUUUUUUCUGUGGGGUACCUACAUGUGUUAAAAUCUCCACAAACAGCCCAUGCUCCCUCUGUUAGACCCCUAAUAGCACUGAUUUCAUCCCAUACUAGCCUUCUUUCAAAACCACAAUUUGGGGCAUACACCUCUGUUAUGUGACAUGAGAACUCUUGUAAAAUUGCUUCAAACUUACAUGUGAUAGUGUAAGCACCAACUUCUAGCACCUCUCCUUUCCACGUUCUGCUAUCCCAUAUAAAAACAAUUCCGCCCCUAGUACCGCUGGCUUCAAGUUGAGCAUGUCUCACCCAUCUACCUCCCCAUACCUGACUUAUCAUCUCCUUUAUCUCUCCCUCCAGUUUGGUUUCUUGGAGACAGAUUAUAUCUGCCCUCCACUCCAAAGCCAAACUCUUCACCAAUCUUCUUUUAUCCCUCCCAUUGAGACCCCUAACAUUCCAUGAGACUAGUUUGAAAUUCAUGAGUUACCUAGUGACAAACUCUUUCACCUGCUCCUUUUGCUAUUAUCUUUGAAUUUCACAUCAAAAGACACUAGGCUUUUAAGUUCCUGCGCGCCUUUAAAGCUAGUCCUUUUAUAGUUUUGCUCCAUCUUUCUUGCUUGUCUAUUACUGUCAAUUUGCUUUAACAAUUCCAUAGCCUCCUCUUUAUGCCCUUGGAAGUCCACCUCGAUCAAUUUACUCAACUUGAGUAGGUUUUGUUGAACCCAAGUAGUCACCUCUCUUUCUUUAUCAGGAAUCAUAUCUUGCAUUUGCAUGCGUAGUGGUUCUGCAUCUUCUACCACCCAGCUAAUUUCCUCCGAGAUUGCAAUUGCAUUGUUCCUUGGUUCCUCAACUCGCGCCAGAUUGACUUCCCCCUUAUUACUGCCUUGCAUAUCCACCAACAGAGCGAUUUCUGUGUUGUCUGUUGACUCCAUGGUGCCACGAUUCCCAACAGCUGCUGCAUACGAGCUUUCCUUUGAAGUUUUUCGGUGGUUAGCAUGUGACUCUACCUGGAAUUGGUGAUCGCAGUUGUCCAGAUCCUCUGUUGUUAGAGCAGUAAUUCUUUCCUUCAUCUUUGAACUCUGGAUAUUAUUAAAAAUGAGAUGGGCUGCUGGGUCAGGCCCAAGUUCACUUUUUCCUGAAAAGAGGCCUACUAACCUUUCUUUAGUCUUGGCCCUUUGAUUCAUUAAACCUCCCCCGUGCUUCUCACGUAUGCAAGUAUUAAAUUGCUCACCAGCUGUCGUUGUGCCCACGUGCCCUGGAGAUACUGAAAGUGAAAAAUCCGAUAGGAUUGUACUAGGUUUCUCGGAUCUUGAGACGGUCCCCCUUUUAAACAGUGGUUCUACGAUGUUUUCUUCUCCAGUCUUCUCUUUCCUUCUCACCGUUGCCGGAACUUCACACCAGAUCGGGAUUUUGUAGGUGAAACCGUCGCUUUCUAUCUCUACUACCCUAGGCACCUCAGAACCAUCUCCUCUCACUUUAACCCUAGCCCACCUUAGGUGGUUUUUUAGGGGUAGUUUCCUCCUUUGUUUCGAUCCAACCCCCACACAUAUCUCCGAUCUACUCGAAGGUAUUCUGCGACCACAAAUUCAGCGGGAGAGCAUAAAUGUGAAUCCAUACCCAACUUCUUUUUAUAUCUGCUGGCCAGCAUCCCACAGUAGGCGACCACCAUUCAAGUGAUAGUUUGGGGGGCCAAGAUUUUUGACGACUGAGUCGACCAUUUGCUGCUUCUUAAGGCUUCCACAAACGACACUUUUUCCUGCAGCUUCCUUGUUGCUACUGUUUUCUCUUCCUUUUUUGGGAACCCAAUAAACCUUGUGAUUUUUUCUGCUAUAGCUGUCCAUCCGGCAUUUAAUGUAAUUUCAGGAGUUAUUAUGACUGAUCUGUUUUCACCCUGAACUGCAAUGAAACUGAUGUAUCUACCAUAUUCAUUACUUUUAAGGGUACAAAAGAACUCAGAAAAGUGAUCCCUUGUUUUCCAUCUCCUGACAGCCAUUCUGUGUUCCUUUGAUGCUUCAUUAAAGACAAAAACUACCCAUUUCAUGACUUUAAGGCUGAAAGAUACCUUUCUCGUUAAAUUUUUGCUCCGCUCGGUCCAUUCAAACCAAGUCUCUGACCUAGAGAUAGACUUAGAGAUGUUAAAAGAUUAAUAGCCAGCAUUGAAGUAAAUCCUUUCU